UUAAGUUUUUAUUUCCGGAAAACAAAAAUUCAGUAAUUCAGUGUACAAAAAAAAAAUUGGUUUCAAGUUAAAAAUUUGUUUGUUACUUUUUGGACACACGAACUCAAAGAAUGACUUUUGGGGAGGGAAGGCGGCUCUUCAAAUAAAGAAAGGCGAUAGUGAAGGUACCGGGAUAUCCGAGCAAAUACUCCCCCAGUUCGGAUUCCCAGUGGCUUGCAUCAAUAUUAAUAAUCACUAUAUUAAGCACUAUAUUAAGCACAGAGAAAGGGAAGGAAGGAAAUGGAAGGAUGGUGAUCCUUCAGACGAAGGAAGGACAUCGUGAUGGUACCUGGAAUAUCCGAUCAGUUAUUCCCUUAGUUCGGAUUCCCAGUGGCUUGCAUCAAUAUUAAUAAUCACUAUAUUAAGCAUUAUAUUAAGCACAGAGAAAGGGAAGGAUGGUGAUCCUUCAGACGAAGGAAGGACAUCGUGAUGGUACCUGGAAUAUCCGAUCAGUUAUUCCCUCAGUUCGGAUAUACAGUGGCUCGCAUCAAUACCAAAUAAAAAUUAUGCAACGAGAUCAAAACCGAAUAAAUUAAUCCACACACAGAUUUGAAUUUAGUA